rnacentral:rRNA from 1 species
AGUGAACGCUGGCGGUAGGCCUAACACAUGCAAGUCGAACGGCAGCACAGUAAGAGCUUGCUCUUACGGGUGGCGAGUGGCGGACGGGUGAGGAAUACAUCGGAAUCUACUUUUUCGUGGGGGAUAACGUAGGGAAACUUACGCUAAUACCGCAUACGACCUACGGGUGAAAGCAGGGGAUCUUCGGACCUUGCGCGAUUGGAUGAGCCGAUGUCGGAUUAGCUAGUUGGCGGGGUAAAGGCCCACCAAGGCGACGAUCCGUAGCUGGUCUGAGAGGAUGAUCAGCCACACUGGAACUGAGACACGGCCCAGACUCCUACGGGAGGCAGCAGUGGGGAAUAUUGGACAAUGGGCGCAAGCCUGAUCCAGCCAUACCGCGUGGGUGAAGAAGGCCUUCGGGUUGUAAAGCCCUUUUGUUGGGAAAGAAAAGCAGCAGGUUAAUACCCCGCUGUUCUGACGGUACCCAAAGAAUAAGCACCGGCUAACUUCGUG